GACCUACGGGGGGCAGCAGUAGGGAAUCUUCCACAAUGGACGAAAGUCUGAUGGAGCAACGCCGCGUGAGUGAAGAAGGGUUUCGGCUCGUAAAGCUCUGUUGGUAGUGAAGAAAGAUAGAGGUAGUAACUGGCCUUUAUUUGACGGUAAUUACUUAGAAAGUCACGGCUAACUACGUGCCAGCAGCCGCGGUAAUACGUAGGUGGCAAGCGUUGUUCGGAUUUAUUGGGCGUAAAGGGAGUGUAGGGGGU
rnacentral:rRNA from 1 species